rnacentral:lncRNA from 1 species
UUCGAUGAUGAAGAUGAGCAUCAGUCUUGAUGUAAACGCCAUGGCGUCCAGUCUUCCGUAUGUGUGAAGGCAGUAAUCAACGAUGGCGAUGGCGGCGCUGAGUGUUAACGUCGCUGACCCCUAAAUCACUAACGAAGUUCCAAGUUGGUGUUUUGGUUUCAGAUGGGGUUAGCGACGAUGACGUUUUAGCUUCCGGUGUAAGCUAGGUUUGCUAAUGCUGAUGACACUGCUGUAGAGAUAGCUGGAACAACUACUUUUUGGUUUGAAUGCAGGGACUUUAGAGAAUCAAUCCAAUGAAAUGAACAAUUCAAUGCUUUAGAAGGUGGGAUAGAGCUACUUCAACUUUUUUGGCUGUAUCUUUGCUUGAGCACAGCUAGAUGAUGGUCAAAUGAAGCUGCAAUCAAGAUUGAAGUCAGAUAUAUGAGUAUAUUUCUUGAUUGAUGAGGGUGUUUGGCUACUGGUGUAGAUAUAUUGUAUGAUUCGUGGUCCCCUGCUAUUACUGUGAGCUCUGUAUGCAUCAUCAUUCUCUCCAUGCUAUCAAGCUCUACUAAGAUAAGAUUGGCAAAGGUAAUUCGAAAAUUAAGAGAGGAAAUAAAGAAAGUGAGGCUUGAUUUACAAAGGGUUAUUUCCAGAUGGCUUCAUGAGAGAGAACAGAAAGUUAAAGUGGAGAAUGCUCUAGAGAAUCUUACGAAGGUUGAACACGAUGGCUUUAUUCAGUCAUAGCUACAUGAUCUCUUAAAGAAGAGUGAUUAUGGAGCAUAGUAAAUGCAAUUGCCCCAUUGAUACGCCUGUUCGGAUACUAAAUAGCACAAACUUUGAAGGAUGUUCAUCUGUAUAUAUUGUGAUGUUUUUAUAUUUGAUAAGUAUUUUAAAAUUUUCAGACGCUGUUAACGU